GGAAAAUGAGGGAAAAUGGAAUAUAAAGCUGUCUUUUUUAUGUCAUUGCUGAGAAAUUGCACAGAUGAUAAACUCUGGUGACUCAUUGUUGCACAUUUGAUUUAUAUUUUUAUAAUUUCUAAUUUUAGUAAGCACAUGAAAUGAGGCGUUAUUUGUCCGAAUUUAUGGCUUUUUCUUUCUUUUUUCCCCCUUCAUUUCUCACUAAUUAAUCAGAGCUCAAAGUUGA
rnacentral:misc_RNA from 1 species